CGAAGCUAGUUGUAUUAACUAUUAGUUAAUGCAAGAUCGACUACGUCGACUAAAGUUCUAGGUAGAAUAAUGAUGAUGACAAUUUUUUACCUAUAUGUCUUGACCAAGUCUCGUGCCAGCAGUCGCGGUAAUACGUGGAAGACUAGUGUUAUUCAUCUUUAAUAGGUUUAAAGGGUACCUAGACGGUAUUUCUAGCCCAAAACAGGGUACGGAUUUACUAGAGUUUUAUGUGAGGAGGGGAGUACUCAUGGAGUAGAGAUGAAAUUUUGUGAUACUAUGAGGAAACUGGUGGCGGCGAAAGCAACCUUCUAUGUAUAAACUGACGUUGAGGGACGAAGGCUUGGGUAGCAAAUAGGAUUAGAUACCCUAGUAGUCCAAGCAGACAAUUCUGAAUGCCAUAGAUUAGAUUCUUUUUGGUCUAUAAAUGAAAGUGUAAGCAUUCCACCUUAGGAGUAAUGUGGCAACACAGGAACUGAAAUCAUUAGACCGUUUCUGAAACCAGUAGUGAAGUAUGUUGUUUAAUUUGACGGUCCACAAAAAACCUCACCACAACUUGAAUAUUAUUAAAUUAAUACAAGCGUUGCACGGCUGUCUUCAGUUAAUGUCGUGA
rnacentral:rRNA from 1 species